rnacentral:rRNA from 1 species
AUUGAACGCUGGCGGCAGGCUUAACACAUGCAAGUCGAACGAGCGGCGGACGGGUGAGUAAUGUAUGGGGAUCUGCCUGAUGGCGGGGGAUAACUACUGGAAACGGUAGCUAAUACCGCAUACCAUCAGAUGAACCCAUAUGGGAUUAGCUUGUAGGUGAGGUAACGGCUCACCUAGGCGACGAUCCCUAGCUGGUCUGAGAGGAUGAUCCGCCACACUGGGGCGGGGAAACGGCCCAGACUCCUUAGGGAGGCAACAGGGGGGAAUAUUGCACAAUGGGCGGCAGCCUGAUGCAGCCAUGCCGGGUGGAUGAAAGAGGCCUUCGGGUUUUAAAGGACUUUCAGGCGGGAGGCGUUACCGACAGAAGAAGCACCGGCUAACUCCGUGCCAGCAGCCGGGGGAAUAC